CACCCCUCAGGGUAGCAACUGGAGAGUUUCUAGUACUCUACCAGUCUCGGCUAAGGGAGGGAGAGUCAAGCAGAGGCCUAUCCAUUCCAUUCCUAACUUGGGCAGUGGCUAGCAAGUGGAAGGCAACCUGCUACAAGU